CCCUUAGAUGUUCUGGGCCGCACACGCGCUACACUGAAGGAGGCAGCGUGUACUCCUGGAUCGAAAGAUUUGGGUAACCCGCGAAUCUCCUUCGUGCUAGGGAUUGAGGUUUGCAAUUAUCCCUCAUGAACGAGGAAUUCCCAGUAAGUGCAAGUCAUAAGCUUGCGCUGACUACGUCCCUGCCCUUUGUACACACCGCCCGUCGCUACUACCGAUUGAAUGAUUUAGUGAGGACUUCGGACUGGGACCGAUGCGGCUUUCGGGCUGCGUCGGUAUUCUGGAAAGAUGUCCAAACUGUAUCAUUUAGAGGAAGUAAAANUCGUAACA
rnacentral:rRNA from 1 species